rnacentral:rRNA from 1 species
AGUGAACGCUGGCGGUAGGCCUAACACAUGCAAGUCGAACGGCAGCACAGUAAGAGCUUGCUCUUACGGGUGGCGAGUGGCGGACGGGUGAGGAAUACAUCGGAAUCUACUUUUUCGUGGGGGAUAACGUAGGGAAACUUACGCUCAUACCGCAUACGACCUACGGGUGAAAGCAGGGGAUCUUCGGACCUUGCGCGAUUGAAUGAGCCGAUGUCGGAUUAGCUAGUUGGCGGGGUAAAGGCCCACCAAGGCGACGAUCCGUAGCUGGUCUGAGAGGAUGAUCAGCCACACUGGAACUGAGACACGGUCCAGACUCCUACGGGAGGCAGCAGUGGGGAAUAUUGGACAAUGGGCGCAUGCCUGAUCCAGCCAUACCGCGUGGGUGAAGAAGGCCUUCGGGUUGUAAAGCCCUUUUGUUGGGAAAGAAAAGCAGCAGGUUAAUACCCCGCUGUUCUGACGGUACCCAAAGAAUAAGCACCGGCUAACUUCGUG